rnacentral:rRNA from 1 species
CGCUGGCGGCGUGCUUAACACAUGCAAGUCGAGCGAUGAAGCUCCUUCGGGAGUGGAUAGCGGCGGGCGGGUGAGUAACACGUGGGUAACCUGCCUCAUAGAGGGGAAUAGCCUUUCGAAAGGAAGAUUAAUACCGCAUAAGAUUGUAGUACCGCAUGGUACAGCAAUUAAAGGAGUAAUCCGCUAUGAGAUGGACCCGCGUCGCAUUAGCUAGUUGGUGAGGUAACGGCUCACCAAGGCGACGAUGCGUAGCCGACCUGAGAGGGUGAUCGGCCACAUUGGGACUGAGACACGGCCCAGACUCCUACGGGAGGCAGCAGUGGGGAAUAUUGCACAAUGGGGGAAACCCUGAUGCAGCAACGCCGCGUGAGUGAUGACGGUCUUCGGAUUGUAAAACUCUGUCUUUAGGGACGAUAAUGACGGUACCUAAGGAGGAAGCCACGGCUAACUACGUGCCAGCCGCCGC